CACAUGUUCUGGUUUAAUUGGGAAAUCUCUCCUUUGACUUUCAGAAUAGCACAGAAGCAGAGACUUUAAGCCUAAACAGACCCAGAUUCAGAGCAGACCCGAUGCUGCUUGAAGAAGGCUGGAGGUAUGUUAAGGAGACAAGGGCUGUCAAGAAGCAGGGAUGUCUCUGGAAAGGGUGAGCAGCUGACGGCCUUUAUGGUUUAGUAGACACCUGUUAAUUUGUCUGCCUCGCAUUCAUUCAUCUUCCUCAUGAACCUGUAAUAUUUUUGUGCUAUGCCAGAAAUUGACUGAAACAGCUAUAGAAUCUGAUAGCUUCUUUAGGACCAAGGAGCAAGAUGGUGACAUAUGAACGCUAUCAAUCUGCUCCCCCUUCUCUACCUCCCUCCAACAAUUAGGCUCUUGGAACCCAGUCAUCAUUAUGAAAGAAGUCACAGGAUCUCUAUGAAGUUGCCUACAUGAAUAUAAACUAAGGCCCCUGGCUGACAGCACCUGGAUGAGCUUCCAGCCAGCAUCCAGCAUCAAGAUGUCAGCAUAUAAAUGGUCUUUCUUGAAAAUGGAUCCUUUAGUUGCACUCAGGCUAUUGAAACUGAUACCACUGGGGUGGGGGUGGGGGGAAAUAAGCCAUUCUUGCUGAACCCUAACGAAAUUGCAAGUUUGUGAGAAAACUAAAUUAAUAUUAUUGUUUUAAGUUGCAAGAUUAAGGGUGGUUUGUUAUGUAGCAAUAGAUAACUGGAACUAAUAGUGCUGUUUAAACUCACUCCAUAGUUAAUUGCUCAGAAAGUAUACAAAACUUUGCAAAUAAAGGCUUCAUCUUACUGUAAAAUCAUUUAUAUAAAAAAUUCAGUUAUAUUUAAAAUACAUUCACA